rnacentral:lncRNA from 1 species
GCCUCUAAUAUGAAAAGAUUUUGUUCCACAAAUCAAGCCUCUAAUUAAUAGUUGAUCCUUAAACCUUAAAGAUAAGUUUUGGUACAUAAAUUGAAAGGUGGUAUACUAAAAUGUAAUAAAUACUAACCUUAAACAUAAGUGGUUAUAAGGUUUGCUAUAUGGGAUGUAUAUGUAAAAAUCCCUAUAAAAUCCGUAAAAUCAGAUUUUGUCCCUCUUUUAACUCAAUCCAAACCCUAGACCUCUUCUCUUCUGUCCCUCUCUUAUAUGCCAUCGCCGCCUCUCUGUAUGGCGGCACCACCGCCUGCCGCCGUCCAUUGGCGUCCAAACAACCACAAAACUUCACCAUCUCAUCCUCUUACUCUCCCUUUUCCAUAUAUCCAAACCCAAACCUCCAAAAACCCCUCAAACUCUACGAAUUUUAGAUCUAGGAAAGUCCUAGCUGUACUUUCUUUAAAUUCGUGAAUAUUGAGCCAUCCACUGCAUCCAACGCCUACAUAGACGUGUAUAUUUCGACGAGGAUUAUUUUUUGACAUUGGUCUCAAGCCAAAACUUUGGCCGAAAAUCUGGCCGAAUUCUGGCGACCACCCUAACUGUCCGAAGCCAUUUUCUCGACCUAGACACAUUUUUCUUUGAGAUAAAAAUGCUAGUUUCGAUGGCCGUGUGGCAAGGAAAUUACAGUGGUAUUUCAUCUCAAAGAAAAAUGUGCUCUUUGUGUCGGACUCGAGCUUAUGAUAUUCCUUAAUUCAGCUUUUAAAAAAUUAUUUUUAUCUUAUCUUUUGUUCUUGCUUUGUGUUUUAGUUUUAGCGUGGAAUUGAAGUGAUGUCUCAUUUUUUUGUUUGGUUCUGAUUCGUUUCUGAUUUUUGCUUUUAAUUUAAUUGUGUGUUAAUUUGAUCAAACAAAGUAAUUGAGCGUGAAUUGUAUCAUUUGUCGUACUUUUAGUUCACCUCUGUUAGCUUGCAACUAGUAGCAUUAUUUGGUUUUAUGCUUAAUCGUGUAAAUCAAUUCGAACUAGUUGAUUUAAUUAGCAUUUGUUUCUCUUAAGGUAGUUAUUUAGCAUAGUUCCUUGACUAGUUAGUUAAAUAUUUUGCAAUGUUAGCCUUUGUGUGGCUCUUAAUUGUUCAAGUUGGUAACAUAUAGUCUUUUAGUUGCUUAGUUAUGUGAUUUUGAAUUGAGCAGAAAGAUUGAGGGACGGGUAAUAGAGGCAUAAUCAGUUAAAGGUACAUAGUAGUUUCCUUGUACUAUUCCAACCAUGCUAAGAGUACAACUACUCAUUUUGUGUCUAAUUUUAGUGAAAAAAGACAGCCCUUUAUCAUGAUUUUGGAUAGAUUUUUGGUGCAACUUUGAAUUACUUUCAGGGUCUUCCCUCUCCUAUAAAGAGAGGGUCUUUCUUUCAUUUAAGAGGUGGAGUUCAACACACACUCUAAUACACUUGGCCACCAUCUUUUACAUUCUGAAAAAGAUACGUAUCUUUGAAAAUAAACCAGCAACUUAAUAGAUAUAGCAAACUUAAAUUUUGGAGUUUUGUUAGUAUUAUUUGAGUAUAAAAUCUUUCACAAAAAAUAGAAAGAAACUUUUGGGCAAUUUACG